GAACGCUGGCGGCGUGCCUAACACAUGCAAGUCGAGCGGGGACAGUGCGACGGAACCGGAAGUUUUCGGAUGGAAGGCGAAGAUGUAUGGUUCUAGCGGCGGACGGGUGAGUAACGCGUGAGCAACCUGUACCUUCGACAGGGGGAUAACACAGCGAAAGUUGUACUAAUACCGCAUAAGACCGACACCGGGACAUCCCGGAGGGGUCAAAGGAGCAAUCCGGUGAAGGGUGGGCUCGCGUCCGAUUAGAUAGUUGGUGAGGUAACGGCCCCACCAAGUCGACGAUCGGUAGCCGACCUGAGAGGGUGAUCGGCCACAUUGGGACUGAGACACGGCCCAAACUCCUACGGGAGGCAGCAGUGGGGAAUAUUGGGCAAUGGGGGAAACCCUGACCCAGCAACGCCGCGUGAAUGAAGAAGGCCUUCGGGUUGUAAAGUUCUUUUAUUGAUGAUAAAGAAAGUGAUAUUAGUCAAUGAAUAAGCCCCGGCUAACUACGUGCC
rnacentral:rRNA from 1 species